rnacentral:tRNA from 1 species
UGUCGGGUAGCUCAGCUGGCAGAGCGGCGCCCUGUUAAGGCGAUGGUCGCAGGUUCGAUCCCUGCCCUGACAGCCA